rnacentral:lncRNA from 1 species
GGUGGAGGCGCGGACGAGGGCGGAGAGUACGGCUCCUCCCGGGACGACUCGGAGAAGUACAGGAAGGAGGAGAAGGAGCACAAGCACAAGGAGCACCUCGGCGAGAUGGGCGCCCUCGCCGCCGGCGCCUUCGCCCUGGUAACGAACCAACGUCCAUCGUUUCCUUCCUUCCUUGCACACGCACGAACUGAUGAACGAGCUGACGCCGUGCUUUGUGAUUGUGACUGUCGCGCAUGUUCUUCGUGUCACUGUGACAACUUUCGUGACGACCAUGUGCAUGCAUGCAUGAUCGACCGGACCGACGCAUGCAGUACGAGAGGCACGAGGCGAAGAAGGACCCGGAGCACGCGCAGCGGCACAAGAUCGAGGAGGGCGUGGCGGCGGUGGCUGCCCUGGGCAGCGGCGGCUUCGCGUUCCACGAGCACCACGACAAGAAGGAGGCCAAAGACGCGGCGGAGGACGCCGGGGAGGAGGAGGAGUCCGGCCGCCGCGGCGAGGGGAAGAAGAAGCACCACUUCUUCGGCUGAUCGGGCUGCUGCUCGAUCGAUCUACUUGCGUACGUAGGCUGCUCCCCAGGACCAGAAGGAGCAUGCAUGGAGGGCGAACG